GCUUGGGAACUUGCCUUUGCGAGGGGGAUAACAGUUGGAAACGACUGCUAAUACCGCAUAAUGUCUUCGGACCAAACGGGGCUUCGGCUCCGGCGCAAAGAGAGGCCCAAGUGAGAUUAGCUAGUUGGUAAGGUAAAGGCUUACCAAGGCGACGAUCUCUAGCUGUUCUGAGAGGAAGAUCAGCCACACUGGGACUGAGACACGGCCCAGACUCCUACGGGAGGCAGCAGUGGGGAAUAUUGCACAAUGGGGGAAACCCUGAUGCAGCCAUGCCGCGUGUGUGAAGAAGGCCUUCGGGUUGUAAAGCACUUUCAGUUGUGAGGAAAAGUUAGUAGUUAAUACCUGCUAGCCGUGACGUUAACAACAGAAGAAGCACCGGCUAACUCCGUGCCAGCAGCCGCGGUAAUACGGAGGGUGCGAGCGUUAAUCGGAAUUACUGGGCGUAAAGCGCACGCAGGCGGUUUGUUAAGCUAGAUGUGAAAGCCCCGGGCUCAACCUGGGAUGGUCAUUUAGAACUGGCAGACUAGAGUCUUGGAGAGGGGAGUGGAAUUCCAGGUGUAGCGGUGAAAUGCGUAGAUAUCUGGAGGAACAUCAGUGGCGAAGGCGACUCCCUGGCCAAAGACUGACGCUCAUGUGCGAAAGUGUGGGUAGCGAACAGGAUUAGAUACCCUGGUAGUCCACACCGUAAACGCUGUCUACUAGCUGUGUGUGUCUUUAAGACGUGCGUAGCGAAGCUAACGCGCUAAGUAGACCGCCUGGGGAGUACGGCCGCAAGGUUAAAACUCAAAUGAAUUGACGGGGGCCCGCACA
rnacentral:rRNA from 1 species